CAACCCACCUUGAAAGUCGGCCCUGGCGUCCUGUCCACGUAGGGGCUCUCUGACCCUUCGACUCUCAGGGGAGUGUUCUCAACUUCUCCCCACGUCAUCAACGGUGACUCAUUCACACCUGCAGAUGGAGAGCCCACACCUCAAACAGAGGACCUAGUUGGGGUGCUGUCUUCCUCCUAACACAUGUAUCCCAGCUGACAUUAAGGCCAACAGGCAAACCCUCUUCCCCAAAACUCCAGAGCCUAGCACCCCACCAUCUGAAGGGAAAUUUCAAAGACACCAGAGCCCCACGGCACGACAGCUGUACUUAGGUUGGAGAAGGUGGGUCUGUUGGACCCCAUCCUAGCACAGGGCCAGGGGUGCCGAGGGAAGCAUUACAGCAGCCGGCACUGAGUGUGGAGGCCAGUGUGCCGUGAGGCAAAAGAGCAACUAUGCAUCAAGGCCACACCCACUCUCGCCUGCCUCCCUGCAGAGACUGCAGGCCUGGAGUCCAGAACCUCCCCA